rnacentral:rRNA from 1 species
AUUGAACGCUGGCGGUGUGCUUAACACAUGCAAGUCGAACGGUAGCAGGCCUUCGGGCGCUGACGAGUGGCGGACGGGUGAGUAACGCGUAGGAAUCUGCCUCAUAGUGGGGGACAACGUGGGGAAACUCACGCUAAUACCGCAUACGCCCUACGGGGGAAAGCGGGGGAUCUUCGGACCUCGCGCUAUGAGAUGAGCCUGCGUUAGAUUAGCUAGUUGGUAGGGUAAAGGCCUACCAAGGCGACGAUCUAUAGCUGGUCUGAGAGGACGAUCAGCCACACUGGGACUGAGACACGGCCCAGACUCCUACGGGAGGCAGCAGUGGGGAAUAUUGGACAAUGGGCGCAAGCCUGAUCCAGCAAUACCGACG